UUACCGCGUUAACUAUGAUGAUGAGAAUUGGCGAAGAAUUUCAAAUUAUCUAUCAUAUAAUGAUUUUACGACAAUUCAUGUUCUUAAUCGUGCUCAAAUUAUCGAUGAUGCAUUUCAUUUAGUGAUAGCAGGCCAACUCAACGCCUCUAUAUUCUGGAAUAUCACAUCGUAUUUGGAUAAAGAAGAAGAUUAUAUAGCAUGGUAUCCUAUGUUUAAAGCUCUGGAAUACAUGUUUAGUAUUUUUCCAGUGAAAGUAAAAACUGCAAAAUUUGGGAAUAGAAUAAAUGGGAUAAAAACCAUUACACGAGUUACUUGCAAAAAUUCAAUAUGAAGAAAUUGAUGAUGCAGAUGAACUUAGAAUAUGUUUACGACAAGAAGCUGCAAGAUGGGCAUGUUUUCUCGGUGACAUCACUUGUAUAAAAGAAGCAAAAAAUAAAUUAAAACAACAUAUCAAAGAUCCUAUAAAACACAGACUUUUGCCAUGGUGGAAGACAUGGACAUAUUGUAGAGGUUUGAUGAUAACUACGAGAAAUGAGACCAUUUUUGGAACAAUGUAUACGAGAGGAUUGGAAAAAACUGACAUUAAAUUUUCAGAAUAUUUCGCUUGCAUUGAAGAUACUGAUUUCAUCAAAAACUAUUUUAGAGAGAGUCAUAAACAGCACACUUAUACAAAACAGGGAAAUCAAUUUCUCGUUAACAGUUUCUUACAUUUUAUUACGAAGCAUGCGAAGAAUUUAAGUAUACUGGAGUAUAUAUUCAAUAAGUUUAACGAAAUAAAACCAAAAAAUGUUAAUAUAAUUGCAGCAUUAAUUAU